rnacentral:rRNA from 1 species
CACAUGCAAUGUGAGCGAACCGCGUUCAGUGUAGCUUGCUACCUGAUUUGACUGAGCGGCGAACGGGUGAGUAACACGUGGGUAAUCUGCCUGGAAGCCUGGGAUAACAGUUGGAAACGGCUGCUAAUACCGGAUGAUAUUUAAGCUGUAGAGGCUUAAAUCAAAGCGCUAUGUAGCGCUUCCAGAUGAGCCCGCGUCCCAUUAGCUAGUUGGUAGGGUAAAGGCCUACCAAGGCGACGAUGGGUACGCCGGUCUGAGAGGAUGGACGGCCACACUGGGACUGANACACGGCCCAGACUCCUACUGGGAGGCAGCAGUGGGGAAUUUUGCGCAAUGGGGGCAACCCUGACGCAGCGACGCCGCGUGAGCGAUGAAAGCCUUCGGGUUGUAAAGCUCUGUCUAGAGGGAAGAUAGUGACGGUACCUCUGGAGGAAGCCCCCGGCUAACCUACCGUUCCCAGCAGCCCGCUGGUAAGACGUACGGGGCCGAGCCGUUGGUCCGGGAAUUUACUGGGGCGUUAAGGGCGUGUAGGCGGGUCUUUUAAAGGUCACCUUGUGGAAAUUCCCCCGGCUCCAACC